rnacentral:rRNA from 1 species
ACGGAGGAUGCGAGCGUUAUCCGGAUUUAUUGGGUUUAAAGGGUGCGUAGGCGGGCUUUUAAGUCAGCUGUGAAAGUUUGCGGCUCAACCGUAAAAUUGCAGUUGAUACUGGGAGUCUUGAGUGUAGUAGCGGUAAGCGGAAUUCGUGGUGUAGCGGUGAAAUGCUUAGAUAUCACGAAGAACUCCAAUUGCGAAGGCAGCUUACCAGACUAUAACUGACGCUGAUGCACGAAAGUGUGGGUAUCAAACAG